rnacentral:lncRNA from 1 species
UUCAUCAUCAGAAAAGCUGAUCCGAUUGACCUUAAAGAUUUUUCCAACCAUUUUCUCAAGCUGGUUGAUUGUAAUCUCCCUUGGAACAUAUGCUUCAUUUAAUACCUUCAGUAAAAUAUCACGAUGCUCCUUGGAGUGCAACAACAAAGAUAAAAGGGAAAUUUGAGCAGGGGUUUUCUUCAACUGGUCUAUUAUUGAAUACUCUGGCAAUUUCAUCUUUUUCAAAAAUUCU